UACGAAGGGGGCUAGCGUUGCUCGGAAUUACUGGGCGUAAAGGGUGCGUAGGUGGUUUUUUAAGUCCGUUGUGAAAUCCCUGGGCUCAACCUGGGAAUGGCAGUGGAUACUGGAAAGCUAGAGUGCGGUAGAGGGUAGUGGAAUUCCCGGUGUAGCAGUGAAAUGCGUAGAGAUCGGAAAGAACACCAACGGCGAAAGCACUCUGCUGGGCCGACACUGACACUGAGAGACGAAAGCUAGGGGAGCGAAUGGG
rnacentral:rRNA from 1 species